rnacentral:rRNA from 1 species
AACGUAGGAGGCAAACGUUAUCCGGAGUUACUGGGCGUAAAGAGUGCGUAGGCGGAUCUGUAAGUGGGUGGUGAAAGCGCUCGGCUAAACCGGGCGAGGUUCAUUCAGACUGCAGGUCUAGAGGCGGAUAGAGGGGUGCGGAAUUCCGGGUGUAGCGGUGAAAUGUGUAGAGAUCCGGAGGAACACCAGUGGUGCAAACGGCGCCCUGGGUCCGAACUGACGCUGAAGCACGAAAGCGUGGGGAGCGAACAGG